UACGUAGGGGGCAAGCGUUGUCCGGAUUUACUGGGCGUAAAGAGCGCGUAGGCGGUUGUUUAAGUGUGGUCUGAAAGCCCCCGGCUCAACCGGGGAUGCGGAUUGCAUACUGGACGUCUUGAGGGGGAUAGAGGAAGGUGGAAUUCCUGGUGUAGCGGUGAAAUGCGUAGAGAUCAGGAGGAACACCCGUGGCGAAGGCGGCCUUCUGGGUAGGCCCUGACGCUGAGGCGCGAAAGCGUGGGGAGCGAACGGG
rnacentral:rRNA from 1 species